rnacentral:rRNA from 1 species
UACGGGGGGUGCAAGCGUUGUCCGGAAUCACUGGGCGUAAAGGGCGCGUAGGCGGCUCAUGAAGGCUGUGGUGAAAGUCCGGGGCUCAACCUCGGAUCGGCCGUGGCGACUCGUGGGCUGGAGCACUGUAGAGGCGGGUGGAAUUCCGGGUGUAGCGGUGGAAUGCGUAGAGAUCCGGAAGAACACCAGUGGCGAAGGCGGCCCGCUGGGCAGUGGCUGACGCUGAGGCGCGACAGCGUGGGGAGCGAACAGG